GUCUACGGCCGUGCUGCCCUGAACGUGCGGGACCUCAUCGGGUCUCGGGAGCUAAGCGGGGUCCGGCCUCGUUGAGUAUUUGGGUGGGAGGGGAUCGGGCUUCUGUUUCCACCUCUGGAACCUGAGGUACCACGGGUG
rnacentral:rRNA from 1 species